CUGCAGGCACUCUGCUGUUGUGCUCUGGCUGUUCUGUCCUUCAGACCAGACAUGUGUAGUGCCUUCUGUGGGCAUUGUUUAGUCUCUGGUCUGAAUAUGACAAGUUUUAACUAGCUGUGCUCUGGUCUUCUUGUGAAAUGAGAAUUGUCACCACCUUCUCCAGAACCAAGGCCAUGCAAAACUCUGGUCAGGAGACAUGAUAGGGGCGGGGUUUUGUGCCAGUCUUCUAGUGAAUAGGACCCCGGGAUCUGGGACUGAGGUAAGCUUGACUGAGAAGGGCAGUUCCACAAGAGUGCAGGGUGUGGGGCUUAGUGUAAGCAGGUCAGGCUUUAAGCCUCUCUGGUUGCAAGGACUUACAAAAUUCAGCCCCUCUUGCUUUCCAAGCCAGUAACUAUGGGGAAACAUCCUCCUUGUGUGUUCCCCUCUACGCUCCUCUCUCUCAUCCUUCUUGGUGAUUAUGGCUCCCUCCCCUCCACGGUACCAUGAUCCAUUUCUCCCCUGAACCAUGUCUCUGCACUUCCUACCUUCUUUGAUAUGUUCUCUUCUCUAACUUUAGGUGUGGAGUUUGUUUUUCCAGGCUUCAGGUCAAUUUCUGAAGGUAUUUAGGAUGAUUUGAUAGUUAUCUAGUUGUUUUUGUGACACAAAGCAAGCCUAGGGUCCUCCUACACUGCCACGAUCUUUUCCCCUCUCCUUCUGGUAAGAAUUUUUACUGUUGAUUGGCUUCUGCAAGUUUUCUGAGGAUCUCAUCUGCAGACUCUGGUGUCUAUCAAAACUUGGCAGUUUUCCAUUUAAUUUUAAUUUUAGUUUCUUCAGGCAGCCUAGGUGGCUCAGCGGUUAGUGCCGCCUUCAGCCCAGGGUGUGGCCCUGGAGACCUGGGAUCGAGUCCCACGUCAGGCUCCCUGCACGGAAUGGAGCCUGCUUCUCCCUCUGCCUGUGUCUCUGCCUCUCUCUCUCUCUCUCUCUCUCUCUCUCUCUUUCAUGAAUAAAUAAAUAAAAUCUUUUAAAAAAAUAAUAAUAAUUUUAGUUUCUUCCUGGCUGUUUAAAAGAAUAUCCUAUCAUUGUAUCAGAAAAUCCCUCAAGAGUACCAUCAACCCUAGGAGGAGCUCUAUGGGGGUACUCCUUCAAGGGUAGACACGGAGGCAUCUGUAGGGCCAUCAACUUGGUGAACUUUUGUUUAUGAUCUUGUGAUGUCUUCAGAGUAGAAAGACAACUCAGAUAGAAUUACUACAAUAAGUACUUUUUAAAAGGAAGAAAGAGGGGAAUCAUAGGAGUUAAUGUCAGUAUUUUUUAUAUCUUUAAUUUUUCAUUAACCAUUUGUAAUGAAUCUAUCAAUAAAGCUAUUUUGGAAUGUUGGAAGCCUUUUGGAGACUUCUGAAUGCCAGUUAAACUAAGUGUCCCAUUCUAUUUGUUUGACUUGAGUUCACUUGAUUUGAAGUUCACUUUUAAAUGAAUGAUCUUGUCUAACUAGAUCAUUUUCUCAUACUGGCCACUGUAAAUUUAGAUUGAGGGGUGACAGUUUGGCAGGACCCUAGCUACAAAUGGACGUUAACCCAUAGUACUGUCCGGCCGUAUAUUGGGGCCCCCAACCUGAGAGUUACCAAGCCAAGUUCUCAGGACACAAAUUUUAGUAAGACCUUGCCAUUUGUGUAGACAUCUACAGCUUCCAGGAUCACAGUUCUUAGAUAUAAACAAUUGUGCUAGAAAGUGACAAGCUCAACUCUUUGGAACUAAGGAUCACAUUUCUUUAGUUAAGCCUUACGUCCCACAGAGCCAAAUUAAUACCUAAGAGGAGCAUGCCACUGUGUUGGGGAUUGUGUGGUAUUUUACAGUGUACCUCACUGCAUGGAAAUUUUCUUGAGAUUGGCAGGUGACCUAGUAUCGGUCUAACUCAAUCUGUGACCAAGUUAUCCUAACCCAGAAGUCUUUGAGUUAAGUGGUUAGCACUGAAACAGCUUUUAGGUCUUGACUCAUGCCCACUAAUUUUAUUUACACAAAACAAGAUAAACGUGUGCACAUCAACAUACCACAGUAACGAAAGAGAUGUUACUAUGGACUGGCUGACAGAGGCCUUGAGUGUAUUAGCAAUUGUCAACUGAAGAAAGUACUGAACCAGCAAACCCAAACAAAUGGGGAGUACAAACUGAACCAGCAACAGUAUCCUAAUGUGGGAUUGGGACUGAACCAAGAGCUGAAGGUUUCAAUUAAAUGGGGAACUGCAGACUUAACUAAAGGCUAGAGACUUGGGUUCCAGUUGGAACUAUCUGCCAGCUCAGGCUGACAUGCUGAGCCCUGAACAGGAAAGCCAAUUAGAUUGUGAUCUUGACAGAAAGAAAGUGAAGUUCAGAAUGGAGAGGAACUUACCCACGACCCUCAGAAAUGACAAGAAAGAGAACACCAGGGGUGCCUAGUUGGCACAGUAGGUUAAGUAUCUGACUCUUGGCUUCAGCUCAGGUCAUGAUCUCAUGGGUCAUGAGAUGAGCCCCAAGUUGGGCUAUACACUUAGUGCGGAGUCUGCUGGAGAUUCUCUCUCUCCUUCUUCUGCCCGCCCCCCACCCCGCUCAUGCUCUCACACACUCUCUUUCUAAAAUAAAUAGAUAAAUAAGAUAGAUAGAUAGAUAGAUAGAUAGAUAGAUAGAUAAAAUCUAUUUGAAUUCUCUUCCUUUCUUUUUCUUUUUAAAGAGUUUGUUGUGUACCAGUGUCUGUGUUUCUCAUUGUCCCUAAAGCCAACAGAAGUUUCUCUCAGAUCCCACCACUGCCACCAAUAUUGUUAAACAAACAAAUGAAAUUCAUCUGAGUAAAUUUUAAAGACACCUUAUUGGCUUUAUUCAAUGAUUCAUAAAUCAGGCAGUAUCCAUCUAGCAAAUAAUAAGGGAGCUCCAAGGAGUUGUACAAAAUGACUUAUAGGCAGGGUGGGGGAAGUGGGGGAAGGACAAGAAAGUAGACAAGAAUGGAUUGUUUGUGACAAGCUUAUCUUUCUUUAGAAGACAGCAGCGGUCUGUCAGAAAGAUUACCUUACUAGUGCUGACCAGGUAAUUCCAGAUUGACUAGUUUAAAAUUCUACUCCCAGGAGAGGUUGAAACUAUAAUUAAGUUAGGCAUUAAGUCUCAGUUUGAUGGUGUGGGACUUAGAAUAAGUGACUCUGUCUGAAGCUUUUUGUCUCUUUUUAACAAUAUAUAGCUCAAACCCGACUCUUUUUAAAAUGUAUUUUAAAGUUUCAAGAUAAAUCAAAACCUGAGUAAGACAAAGCAAGAUUUUCUCACUUUGAAAACGUAUCAAUAAGAGUAUUUGAAGCUGCUUGAUUGCUACAAAAUCUAGUUAGUGUGGGAGACUGAGCAUAACAUAAAUCCUUUUAAAUGAUGUCUUCACAAAGAAAAGUGCAAAUAGAAUAGCUUUGCAAAUAGGGGUAGAUGAAAUAGGAUAAAAAUAUCUGAUCACUUGUUUUGAGAGUAACAGGAAGAUAUUUUACCAUAAAAAUUCUCCAAAAUAAUUUUCUCAAUGUUUUGUUUGGCAACAGACUCAAAUUUGAGUUCCAAAAAGUUAUCUUACAAAGACAAAUCUAAGGAGGAAAUCAUUUCCCACAAUAUUUCAAAGCAAUUUUUAAGCACAAACCAGGUACAUUUUUCAUACAAAAGACCAUUCCCCCCCAAAAUUUUUAAGAACCUUGCCCAUGAAAGUUUCAGCAAGUCAAGAGAGUAAGGAAAUAAUUUUUAGCAUCAAUUUGCCCUAUAUACUGUCACAAGUGCCCAAAUACCUCCUAAUAAGCAAUGAUAGUAUUGCUGAUAUUCUUAGAAAUAACUUUUGGUUUCAAAUAGGAGAUCUGAUUUGGGUUGCAGGUAAUAGUAAGCCUGUCAGACCAGGUCAGAGAACAAAGAAAAUUAUUAAAAGAAAACAAGUGUGUCUAGGGGCACCUGGGUGGCUCAGUGGUUGAGAUUCUGCCUUCGGCUCAGGUCAUGAUACCCAGGGUCCUGGGAUUGAGUCCUGCAUUGGACUCCCCAAAGGGAGCCUGCUUCUCCCUCUGCCUGUGUCUCUGCUUUUCUCUGUGUGUCUCUCAUUAAUAAAUAA
rnacentral:lncRNA from 1 species